ACUGCCCCUAGAGGCAUUGCAGAUGCGGCUGUGUCACAUGUGCAUCAUCAGUGGGGGGGGGGGGGGGAGAGGCCAUGUCUAUGCUCAGUGUUCUGACCUGUGAACAUCUCAAUGAUUAGUAGCCUUAACACU